rnacentral:rRNA from 1 species
GACGAACGCUGGCGGCGUGCCUAAUACAUGCAAGUAGAACGCUGAAGGAGGAGCUUGCUUCUCUGGAUGAGUUGCGAACGGGUGAGUAACGCGUAGGUAACCUGCCUGGUAGCGGGGGAUAACUAUUGGAAACGAUAGCUAAUACCGCAUAAUAGCAGUUGUUGCAUGACAACUGUUUGAAAGUUGCAAUUGCACCACUACCAGAUGGACCUGCGUUGUAUUAGCUAGUUGGUGGGGUAACGGCUCACCAAGGCGACGAUACAUAGCCGACCUGAGAGGGUGAUCGGCCACACUGGGACUGAGACACGGCCCAGACUCCUACGGGAGGCAGCAGGAGGGAAUCUUCGGCAAGGGACGGAAGUCUGACCGAGCAACGCCGCGUGAGUGAAGAAGGUUUUCGGAUCGUAAAGCUCUGUUGUAAGAGAAGAACGAGUGUGAGAGUGGAAAGUUCACACUGUGACGGUAUCUUACCAGAAAGGGACGGCUAACUACGUG